GCCUACGGCCAUACCACCCUGAAAGCGCCCGAUCUCGGAAUCUAAGAAGGGACGGGCCUGGUUAGUACCUGGAUGGGAGACCGCACUGGGAAUACCAGGUGUUGUAGGCU
rnacentral:rRNA from 1 species